CACGUAGGAGGCGAGCGUUUGUCCGGAAUCAUUGGGCGUAAAGAGCGCGCAGGCGGCCCGGCAAGUCGGGUGUGAAAUCCCGGGGCUCAACCCCGGGACUGCAUUCGAUACUGCCGGGCUAGAGGUAGGUAGGGGAGAUCGGAAUUCCUGGUGUAGCGGUGAAAUGACGCAGAUAUCAGGAGGAACACCGGUGGCGAAGGCGGAUCUCUGGGCCUUACCUGACGCUCAGGCGCGAAAGCUAGGGGAGCGAACGGG
rnacentral:rRNA from 1 species